AAACAGAAAAUCAGAAACUUAAACGUGUUGGGCCUUGGAGACCAUGGUUCUGGAAGGAAAGGUACAAGGAGCUGACAUGAACCUGAUUUUUAACCUGAAGCAGACAGAGUUGGGACCAGCUGGCCUGCAGUCCUGUGAGCAAGAAAUCGAUGUGCAUACUCAUGAGUAAACCAUAAACAUUUGCUGUUAUAACCCAGGAAGCUUUGGGAGUUGAUUUUUAUGUGGUGUUAUGGCAACAAUUGUUGAUGAAUGUGGGUAUACAGUAUUGGAAGUUCUCAUGUGUCUUUGAUGGCCAGCCUCUCAGUGCUUACAGAGCUCCUCAGCCUCACCAGAUAUUUCCCACUUGAAUAAUGAAGUUGUAUGGUUGGGAAUAGACAUUUUGGCUAUUUGGGUCAAUAGGUUUAGGACCUUUGGAGGAUUCAAGACUGGUAGAAAACCACAGCAUGGUCUAAGAUGCAGGUGUUCAUGCCUGCAGAAGCCCAUGAUUAGACCCAACUGGAGGAAGUUUGGAGCUUCUCUCAGACAUGUAAGAAUUGUUCUGAAGAAUCUGCAUCUUGUUGGGUGAAGGACUUCAGAAUGUGCAAUAAAAAUGCAAUAGUCUUGGACCUAUGUAACUGGAAGGAACUGGUGGACAAGCUCUUACUGCUUCUCCAGGUUCUCACAAGAAAGCAGGCAUGGAUUCCUUUUGCACAGCUCCUCCAGGCUUUCUGGGCCCUGUCAUUCCUUCUUCUAUCUUCUGGGUUGAGCAACAUGCAAUCUCCCCUUGUGCAGAAGCCCAAAUAGCUACUGAAAAUGUGUCCUCUCUGACUUUCCCCAUUUCUUGAACUCUGAGAGACUUUUUCUAGUAUCAGUUCUGAGGAGCAUUGCUGUUUUCCUUCCUAUCAUCUGGAAGACCUAGACUUUAAAACUCAAAACCUGAGAAAAACUUCCUUUUUUUUCUCUCUUUUGUCUGGAUCAUCACUACCUUGAAAUACUAAAUUAGCAAAGUCCUAACUAGAAACUGAAUUGGCUAAAGAGUCAAGGAGCAACAGGUAAUUCCAAGAAAAACAACAGCAAACUUACAUCAGUUAACAUUUCAA
ensembl:lncRNA novel transcript